rnacentral:lncRNA from 1 species
AUAGACGUCAGAACAUCUGGCUUGGUAAGUGAUCAUCUAUACUGGCUGACCCAUCCUCCUGACUUGUUUAACCUAAACUGGACAGCUAUAAGAAAUCAAGUGUCCAAAUAAAUGCUUAUCUGAUGUUUGAAAGAAUGAAAAUAUCACAAUACUGUGUUAUAAUAAGAAAUGUUGAAAGGGCAACCUAAACCUUGUGAGUCUCCAUUUCAAAACCCCAUUUGUCUCCACUUAAGAACCAGGCGUUUUGUGAAACCAGACAAUCUUAUUGGGAUAAUUGCUUUUGGUAUUUGCAAUUCCUUGAUGGUUAACGAUAUCAAGUGAUUUCUUAUUUUUGAUGGCCAUUUGUACGUCUUCAUUUGAGAAGUAUCUAUAACUCCUUUCCCCAAGUUUCACUUGUGUUGCUUGUUUUUCACUAAGAUUUCUGAGUUUAAAAAGAAAAAUAUUGCAGGUAUUAACUCUGGUGAGUAAUUAGAAAACUGCAUGCAUUCGCUUUGUAUUGUAUUGACUUCUUGGUAUGAAAAAAGUAUUUUGUUUUUGGUUAUCUCACUUUUCUUUGUUUAU